rnacentral:rRNA from 1 species
CAACCUGCAUGGGUAUGGUGUGGAAAGUUUUUCGGUCUGGGAUGGACUCGCGGCCUAUCAGCUUGUUGGUGAGGUAAUGGCUCACCAAGGCGACGACGGGUAGCCGGCCUGAGAGGGCGACCGGCCACACUGGGACUGAGACACGGCCCAGACUCCUACGGGAGGCAGCAGUGGGGAAUAUUGCACAAUGGGCGAAAGCCUGAUGCAGCGACGCCGCGUGAGGGAUGACGGCCUUCGGGUUGUAAACCUCUUUCAGCAGGGAAGAAGCGCAAGUGACGGUACCUGCAGAAGAAGCACCGGCUAACUACGUGCCAGCAGCCGCGGUAAUACGUAGGGUGCGAGCGUUGUCCGGAAUUAUUGGGCGUAAAGAGCUUGUAGGCGGUUUGUCGCGUCUGCCGUGAAAAUUCGAGGCUCAACCUCGAACUUGCGGUGGGUACGGGCAGACUAGAGUGUGGUAGGGGAGACUGGAAUUCCUGGUGUAGCGGUGAAAUGCGCAGAUAUCAGGAGGAACACCGAUGGCGAAGGCAGGUCUCUGGGCCACUACUGACGCUGAGAAGCGAAAGCAUGGGGAGCGAACAGGAUUAGAUACCCUGGUAGUCCAUGCCGUAAACGUUGGGAACUAGGUGUGGGUCUCAUUCCACGAGAUCCGUGCCGC